rnacentral:rRNA from 1 species
GCUGGCGGCGUGCUUAACACAUGCAAGUCGAACGAUGAAGCCUAGCUUGCUAGGUGGAUUAGUGGCGAACGGGUGAGUAAUACGUGAGUAACCUACCUUUAACUCUGGGAUAAGCCCGGGAAACUGGGUCUAAUACCGGAUACGACCAAUCUCCGCAUGGGGUGUUGGUGGAAAGCGUUAUGUAGUGGUUAUAGAUGGGCUCACGGCCUAUCAGCUUGUUGGUGAGGUAACGGCUCACCAAGGCGACGACGGGUAGCCGGCCUGAGAGGGUGACCGGCCACACUGGGACUGAGACACGGCCCAGACUCCUACGGGAGGCAGCAGUGGGGAAUAUUGCACAAUGGGCGCAAGCCUGAUGCAGCGACGCCGCGUGAGGGAUGACGGCCUUCGGGUUGUAAACCUCUGUUAGCAGGGAAGAAGAGAGAUUGACGGUACCUGCAGAGAAAGCGCCGGCUAACUACGUGCCAGCAGCCGCGGUAAUACGUAGGGCGCGAGCGUUGUCCGGAAUUAUUGGGCGUAAAGAGCUUGUAAGCGGUUUGUCGCGUCUGCUGUGAAAGGCCGGGGCUUAACUCCGUGUAUUGCAGUGGGUACGGGCAGACUAGAGUGCAGUAGGGGAGACUGGAAUUUCCUGGUGUAGCGGUGGAAUGCGCAGAUAUCAGGAGGAACACCGAUGGCGAAGGCAGGUCUCUGGGCUGUAACUGACGCUGAGAAGCGAAAGCAUGGGGAGCGAACAGGAUUAGAUACCCUGGUAGUCCAUGCCGUAAACGUUGGGCACUAGGUGUGGGGGACAUUCCACGUUUUCCGCGCCGUAGCUAACGCAUUAAGUGCCCCGCCUGGGGAGUACGGCCGCAAGGCUAAAACUCAAAGAAAUUGACGGGGGCCCGCACAAGCGGCGGAGCAUGCGGAUUAAUUCGAUGCAACGCGAAGAACCUUACCAAGGCUUGACAUAUACUGGACCGCAUCAGAGAUGGUGUUUCCCUUCGGGGCUGGUAUACAGGUGGUGCAUGGUUGUCGUCAGCUCGUGUCGUGAGAUGUUGGGUUAAGUCCCGCAACGAGCGCAACCCUCGUUCUAUGUUGCCAGCACGUUAUGGUGGGGACUCAUAGGUGACUGCCGGGGUCAACUCGGAGGAAGGUGGGGAUGACGUCAAAUCAUCAUGCCCCUUAUGUCUUGGGCUUCACGCAUGCUACAAUGGCCGGUACAGAGGGUUGCGAUACUGUGAGGUGGAGCUAACCCCUAAAAGCCGGUCUCAGUUCGGAUUGGGGUCUGCAACUCGACCCCAUGAAGUCGGAGUCGCUAGUAAUCGCAGAUCAGCAACGCUGCGGUGAAUACGUUCCCGGGCCUUGUACACACCGCCCGUCAAGUCACGAAAGUUGGUAACACCCAAAGCCGGUGGCCUAACCUUUUUGGAGGGAGCCGUCUAAGGUGGGAUUGGCAAU